UACGGGGGGAGCAAGCGUUGUUCGGAUUUACUGGGCGUAAAGGGCGCGUAGGCGGUCGUGACAGGUCACUUGUGAAAUCUCCGGGCUUAACUCGGAACGGUCAAGUGAUACUGUCGGACUAGAGUACAGAAGGGGCAACUGGAAUUCUCGGUGUAGCGGUGAAAUGCGUAGAUAUCGAGAGGAACACCUGCGGCGAAGGCGGGUUGCUGGGCUGAUACUGACGCUGAGGCGCGAAAGCCAGGGGAGCGAACGGG
rnacentral:rRNA from 1 species